rnacentral:rRNA from 1 species
AGCAACGGGCUGCGUGCUUACCAUGCAGUCGAACGCUGAAGCCUGGUGCUUGCACCGGGUGGAUGAGUGGCGAACGGGUGAGUAACACGUGAGUAACCUGCCCCUGACUUCGGGAUAAGCCCGGGAAACUGGGUCUAAUACCGGAUACGACUGCCGGACGCAUGUCUGGUGGUGGAAAGUUUUUUCGGUUGGGGAUGGGCUCGCGGCCUAUCAGUUUGUUGGUGAGGUAAUGGCUCACCAAGACGACGACGGGUAGCCGGCCUGAGAGGGCGACCGGCCACACUGGGACUGAGACACGGCCCAGACUCCUACGGGAGGCAGCAGUGGGGAAUAUUGCACAAUGGGGGAAACCCUGAUGCAGCGACGCAGCGUGCGGGAUGACGGCCUUCGGGUUGUAAACCGCUUUCAGCAGGGAAGAAGCGCAAGUGACGGUACCUGCAGAAGAAGUACCGGCUAACUACGUGCCAGCAGCCGCGGUAAUACGUAGGGUACGAGCGUUGUCCGGAAUUAUUGGGCGUAAAGAGCUCGUAGGUGGUUGGUCACGUCUGCUGUGGAAACGCAACGCUUAACGUUGCGCGUGCAGUGGGUACGGGCUGACUAGAGUGCAGUAGGGGAGUCUGGAAUUCCUGGUGUAGCGGUGAAAUGCGCAGAUAUCAGGAGGAACACCGGUGGCGAAGGCGGGACUCUGGGCUGUAACUGACACUGAGGAGCGAAAGCAUGGGGAGCGAACAGGAUUAGAUACCCUGGUAGUCCAUGCCGUAAACGUUGGGCACUAGGUGUGGGGGGCAUUCCACGUUCUCCGCGCCGUAGCUAACGCAUUAAGUGCCCCGCCUGGGGAGUACGGUCGCAAGGCUAAAACUCAAAGGAAUUGACGGGGGCCCGCACAAGCGGCGGAGCAUGCGGAUUAAUUCGAUGCAACGCGAAGAACCUUACCAAGGCUUGACAUACACCGGACCGUCCUGGAAACAGGUCCUCUUCUUUGAAGCUGGUGUACAGGUGGUGCAUGGUUGUCGUCAGCUCGUGUCGUGAGAUGUUGGGUUAAGUCCCGCAACGAGCGCAACCCUCGUUCUAUGUUGCCAGCACGUGAUGGUGGGAACUCAUAGGAGACUGCCGGGGUCAACUCGGAGGAAGGUGGGGAUGACGUCAAAUCAUCAUGCCCUUUAUGUCUUGGGCUUCACGCAUGCUACAAUGGCUGGUACAGAGAGAGGCGAACCCGUGAGGGCAAGCGAAUCCCUUAAAGCCAGUCUCAGUUCGGAUCGUAGUCUGCAAUUCGACUACGUGAAGUCGGAGUCGCUAGUAAUCGCAGAUCAGCAACGCUGCGGUGAAUACGUUCCCGGGCCUUGUACACACCGCCCGUCAAGUCACGAAAGUCGGUAACACCCGAAGCCGGUGGCCUAACCGUAAGGAGGGGGCCGUCUAAGGUGGACCGUGUAUGAU